rnacentral:rRNA from 1 species
CUCGUAGGCGGUUUGUCGCGUCGUCUAUGAAAUUCUGCAGCUUAACUGCAGGCGUGCAGGCGAUACGGGCAGACUUGAGUACUACAGGGGAGACUGGAAUUCCUGGUGUAGCGGUGAAAUGCGCAGAUACCAGGAGGAACACCGGUGGCGAAGGCGGGUCUCUGGGUAGUUACUGACGCUGAGGAGCGAAAGCGUGGGAGCAAACA